UACGGAGGGGGGCUAGCGUUGUUCGGAAUUACUGGGCGUAAAGCGCACGUAGGCGGCGUUGCAAGUUAGAGGUGAAAGCCCGGGGCUCAACUCCGGAAUUGCCUUUAAAAACUGCAAUGCUCGAAUUGUGGAGAGGUAAAGUGGAAUUCCGAGUGUAGAGGUGAAAUUCGUAGAUAUUCGGAAGAACACCAGUGGCGAAGGCGACUUACUGGACACAUAUUGACGCUGAGGUGCGAAACGUGGGGAGCAAACAGGGAUUAA
rnacentral:rRNA from 1 species